GAUGAACGCUGGCGGCGUGCCUAAUACAUGCAAGUCGAGCGAACAGACGAGGAGCUUGCUCCUCUGACGUUAGCGGCGGACGGGUGAGUAACACGUGGAUAACCUACCUAUAAGACUGGGAUAACUUCGGGAAACCGGAGCUAAUACCGGAUAAUAUAUUGAACCGCAUGGUUCAAUAGUGAAAGACGGUUUUGCUGUCACUUAUAGAUGGAUCCGCGCCGGAUUAGCUAGUUGGUAAGGUAACGGCUUACCAAGGCAACGAUGCGUAGCCGACCUGAGAGGGUGAUCGGCCACACUGGAACUGAGACACGGUCCAGACUCCUACGGGAGGCAGCAGUAGGGAAUCUUCCGCAAUGGGCGAAAGCCUGACGGAGCAACGCCGCGUGAGUGAUGAAGGUCUUCGGAUCGUAAAACUCUGUUAUUAGGGAAGAACAAAUGUGUAAGUAACUAUGCACGUAUUGACGGUACCUAAUCAGAAAGCCACGGCUAACUACGUG
rnacentral:rRNA from 1 species